rnacentral:lncRNA from 1 species
GAGCGCCGAGCCUCCGCUGCAGACCCAGCUCGCCGCCCUUCCCUCGCGCCCGCUCGAGCGGCGCGGAGCCCGGGGGAAACUUCGGCGCCGCCUUCUCUCGCUGCCGCCGCCGCCGGCCUCUGGACUCCUCGCGAAGUUCCCGCUGCUGGUCCUGCCUGCGUGCAGCGGAGGAGGAGGGAACGACGACGGGCGACGGGGUCGCCUCGGGGAGCCCUGAGGGCCUGUACGUUGCUGUUGCAUCAUCCUAUCUCCUGGUGGAAGAACUAAGAUUCAACUGAAAUUCUGAGUUAACCUGGCAAGAAAGGCUAAGGACAAGCUUGGCCAAUAAAAGAUACAUGGGACAUAUAAACCA